GGAGAGUAGAGAGCAUGGUGCUCAAGCGGUUUUGAAAACCGUUCCACUGCCACUGCGAGCGCGGUGAUGGUUCGAUUCCAUUACUCUCCGCCA
rnacentral:tRNA from 1 species